rnacentral:pre_miRNA from 1 species
CUUGUACUCCCUCCGUCCGGAAAUACUUGUCAUUGAAAUGGAUGUAUCUAGAUGUAUUUUAGUUCUAGACACAUCCAUUUUGAUGACAAGUAAUUUUGGACGGAGGGAGUACUUG